rnacentral:lncRNA from 1 species
UGGCACAAGUGGAGAGUCCUUUAGCGCAAAGGCUAUGGAAACCUUCAUGCUUGAUUUUUUUUCGAACAAAAUUUUAGAAUUAAAAGACUAUUAUUACAUGUCAAAGGUUAUUAGAAACAUUAUUUCUACACCUUUGUUGUAAAAACAAGGUUAUGAAAUAAGGCUAAUGGAAAUGAAUGCUCUAUUUUCUUUUCUAAUGAAUUUUAUAGUAGUGGUUAUAUUGAUAAUAAUCUUUUAAUUCUUGCAC